CAACCCUCAAGCACUGCUUGGCAUUGGAUGCUACCUCUGGUACACCUAAAAAAUAUUGGCAGUGGCAUUCAGCUUCUAGUGUAGUAAUUUUCUCGCUUAGGAGUUGUGAAUGUCCAACUGCCAGAACCCUCCAAUUUAUCACAA
rnacentral:misc_RNA from 1 species